GUCCGACAAGUUCGACAGGACUGGUAGCUUCCUGGGCAGGGAAGGGAGCCAGACCUGGUGGGAGGUGCCAGGAUUCCCCACCCUGAUCUGGUGGUGGAGCUGCCCACCCCAUCCCACCCCACUGGUCAUCAGCUGGUGCCAUCAGACCCUGCCUCCUCACCUCCAGGGGGAAGAUGGUAAGAGGACCAAGUAUCAAGUGGCAAUCACCCACCCAGUCAUCUCUCCGGAAUCCCAGAGCUGCACCUCCAUGGCCCCAGGGCUCCGCAUCCCACAAAACUCAGUGUCUUCCCUCUGAGCCGGCACUCCUGGGUUCCACCAUCUGGGCAGAGGCUGGGAGCCGUGUCCCCCGCUCCUUCCCCUUCACUGCUGUCCUCUCUGAAUCCCACCCCCUCCUGCCCCUGAAUCUCUCUGCCCCGUCCCUUCCAGUCCAUCCCCAGCAGAGGCCCAUCCUCCCCAUACCCCUCACGUGGCCUCCCUCCAGCCUUGUCCCCUCCAGUCCGUGGAUCCCCAUGUGGCCCCUGGGUCUAUGUUCAGAGCUGCCCCUGCCCUGCUCGCAGCCCUCGAUGGCUCCCCAUUGCCCUCAGGAGACAUCCAAGAGAACUUUGAGAACCGAGUGGCCUAGACUCACCCCUUCUCCCCCUCCACUUACUCUUUGAAUCCCGUGCCAUCCUCGUGCCCCAUCUCCCCUCCCAGCCUUUGCAGGCGCAGUUUUCUCUGCCUGGAAUGCUCUCGCUCACUCCCUGCCUGCUUGCAACCUGGCAAAACCACAACUUGUCCUUCAGGUCUCACCUUAUUAAAACCAUAAUAAUUACCACUUAUCAUGCAUGAGGAACCAUGCAAAAUGCUUCCUGGGCAUUAUCGGGCUGAACCCUUCCAAACACCCUAUGAGCUGGGUGUUGUUAUCGUCAUUUUACAGGCCGGGGGACUAUGGCUCAGAAAGGUCAAAGGACCUGCCAGUGUUUGCACAGCCAGAGGGAGGAGCUGGGCUUCAACCCAGGAUGGUCCAACUGCUCACUCCCUCCAAAAGCUUCUCCUACCAUCCCAUGCUGGGCUUUGGGCCUCUGCUCAGCUCCCGGUCCUUGCCAUACUAAUAAAAAUAAUAGCAAUAAAACAAAGAGCAUUUUCUGUGUCAGGUGUAGUUCUGGGGUGCUACAGUAUUUAGCCCUUCAGAACCCCACGGGGUGGGCCUUAUAGCUUACAUAUGGCUACAAAUUGGACUUUCCCUAAGGAAUAGGGUCCAUGUCUGCUCCCCUUCAAUCAGAGUAGGUGUGACCAAGAGAAGGCCAUGGAAGUGACCCCGUGCCAGUUUCAGCGUCUAGACCUUGAGAGAUUGGCAGAUUUCACUUCCUGUACCACAGAGCACUCCCUCUUGGAACCCAGCUGCCAUGCUGUGAGGAAGCUCAAGCAGUUCCAUCAAGAGGAACCAUGACCCCUGGUCAGCAGCCCCAGCCAGCCUGCAAAACUGAGCCACCCUGGACGUCCAUCCUCUGGCCCCACGUGAGCCACCCAACUGAUGCUGCAUGGAGAGGCAGGCUGUCCUUGCCAUGCCCGGCCGGAAUUUCAAAUUUAGGAGCAAAAUAAGUGAUUGUUGGUUUGAGCCACAGGUGUGGGGGCAGGCUGUUAUGCUACAACAGACCAUCAGCACACAGCAUUCUUACCAAGUCCACCUGCCGGAGGAGGAAGCUGAGGCUCGGAGAGAAGGAACUUGCCAAAGGUCCUCCCAGAACCAGGGAUUGGCCAGCCUGGGAUCUGAACCCAGGGCCCCCGGGUCCAGACUCUUAACCACUACACUAAGCUCUUACUAUUUCCAUCAGCCAUAUGAGAAGCUGAAGCUGAGACGGGAUGUAAUACUCUCCAAAUCUCACAUGUGGUUAAUGGAGGGUUUAAAAUCAGGCCCAACUCAUCAUCCCCACGCUGGAUUUUGACUGCUUGCUGCUUGUCUGCCUCCCUGGCCAGAACCAGAGGCUCCAGCCUCAUACCCUCCUGUGUUCUGACUCUCAGCAGGGGCCUGGCACCCCCCAGUCCCCAGCAAGAACUUGGCAGAUGAAAGUCAUCUUCUCUGCCACCUCACUGAUAUUUGUCUUUGAAGAUUCAACCUAGAUGCCAUCUCCCUUGGCAGUCUCUGGCCCCAGGGGCCAGGUCAGGUGCCCUUCAUGGGCUCCCAAGGGCCCAGGGCUACCUGGCUUCCAGCACACAGCUCACAACUGCCUUUGCCUAAGCCCACCCCACUUCAACAUGGAAGCUUCUUGAGGGCAGGGACUGGAUGUGAUUCACCUGAGUCCCUGGUACAGGGCCCAACACACAAGAGGCUUAAGUAAAUGUCUAUUGAAUGAAUCAAAGAACAGGUCUCCGGGGAAUGAGGUAACAGAGACAGUUGCUGGGAGAGGCAUAGUUUUAUUGCUGAGUUCCAGGCAAUGGGCUCAAAUCUGCCCCGUCUUCCGCAGUUUGGCCACCAGGUCUUCCGUGGUCUCCACCUUGACUCCAGCCGUGCGCUGGGGCGGGUCCUCCACGGUAACCACAGAGAGCUUAGAGGUCAGGUCCACGCCCAGGUCUCCGGGCUUGAUCACCUCGAUCUUCUUCUUCUUGGCUUUCUGCACACGGGCAGCCAUGGUUCACAGGGCUGCCAAGGCCCUGCCCAUCCUGCAGCCGCCUUCCCACAACUGCGACAUCUGCAGAGCCACUCCCACUGGCUGAACCCUCUCGACCUAACCACUGGCCAGGACACAGGCGGCCUCCUGUAGGGCCACACCGGGACAAUUCCUGGUGGCUGGGGCGUCCUGGGAAGCCCUCCUAUUGCAGGAGCCCUCCUUCAGCCAGUGGCCUCAGGAAGCCCCUCACUGGCGGGAAUGGGCUGGCAACUCGGCCUUUUGGCAGAAUCACUCCAUGGACUUUCUGGUAAGUUGACCCGCUGAACCUGCCUAUUGGCUGAGAUGACCCACUGAACCCGUCCUAUUGGUUGGGAAUGACACACCGAACCCUCCCUAUUGGCUGAGAUAACAUACCGAACUCUCCCUAUGAGCCCAUCCUACAGGCCAUCAUAAAUAGUGAGCUCUUCCCGUUAGCCAGGAGACUCCAUGACCCUUUCCUAAUUACCCACCAUGACCUAAAUGAUUCCCUCUUGUUGACAAAGAUUAUCAGGGGAAUCCCCCCAGUGAACCAAGACGACCUAAUAAACCCUUCUCCUUUGGUCAGAAUUACCCUAUGAACUUUUCCCAUUGGUUGGAAUGAAGGCUUCCUGUUGGCCCAAACAGCCCCCAGACCCUCCCUCUGGGCAGAAAUGACUCAGUAAACCCCCCGUUAGCCAGAACGACCAGGGGAUCCUUUCUUGGGAUGAGGAACCCCUUGGGCCCUCUGCCUCCCACCUGACCACCAGGGAGCCACUGGGCCUGCGAUGCACCCCCAGUUCCCAGCCCUGCAGGACCCGUGUGCCAAGCGCUCACCAUGAUGUUGGGCAGCGUGGCGUAGCGGGGCUCGUUGAGCCGCAGGUCGGCGGUCACCACCGCGGGCAGCUUCAGGCGCAGCGUCUCCAGGCCCCCGUCAAUCUCCCGCUCCACUUUCACCUUGUCCCCUUCCAGGGUCACCUGGGAGGCGAAUGUGCCCUGGGGAGGGACAGUGGAGUGAGUGUAGGGAGGUUAAGUCAGGGCAGGCCCCCACGUGCCACUGCUGAGCACCCGCGUGGAGGAGCCAACAGGCUUAGGAACGGGACCUGCUGACACCGAGCUCAAAGACGGGGGAAGCCACAGAAAGGGAGUAAAUCAAAGUUGAGGGAAGGGUGUCGUUACUUUCACUGGGAGCGAGGUACAGUCCUAACAUCUGAACCUGCCAUGUAGGUUCCUACCUGUUACAAUUGACCUUAAUGGUAACUACACGUAUUAAGUCAUGAGAUCCUCAUAGGAACUCCAAAGUAAAUGCUGUCAUCCCCACUUUACAGAUGAGGAAAACGGAGGCAGAGAGAGGCUUGAAAUGUUCUCUCUGCCAAAAAUAUGCUGGUGAAUCCCAAAGCUGGCAGCACGGCCCUAGGCUCCACGUCCAGCUUCACGACCAUCACUCUGUCCCCAAGAACAACCCCGAGGCCCCUCUGCUGGGCCGAUGACAGAGCCUCUGUGCUCACCUUCACCCCAGAAAUGUGCUCUGGGACGCCAUCGUCUGGGCUCAGUGCCCAUCUCCGGCCAAGGCCCCUCUGCCCCUCUGUCCCAGUCCACCUCCUGACAUGUCUACGCCCUUUGCCCACCCAUCCUGUUCUCUCCAGUCCCUCACUGGAUAAACCUUCAAGUCUUAGGUGACAUGUUCCACCAUUCCCAGUCUCAUGUGAGGGCCUGAGGGCCGAGCUCUGGGACUGCACGGUGAGCGUGACCAGCAAGGCCCCGGCAGGAAGACCGCCAGAAACCAGGCAAACGCACGCCAGCCGCUAACGUGUGGCUUCUGAGCACAUGGAAUGUGGCUAGUGAAUCGAGGGAUGGAAUUUUUCAUUCCAUUUAAUUUAAACUUAAAAACCAGUAAGUUAAAAAAAAAA